GGGGGGGCAAGCGUUUGUUCGGAUUUACUGGGCGUAAAGAGCUCGUAGGCGGCCUGUUUAGUCGGACGUGAAAUCCCUCGGCUCAACUGAGGAACUGCGUCCGAUACUGGCAGGCUUGAAUCCGGGAGAGGGAUGCGGAAUUCCAGGUGUAGCGGUGAAAUGCGUAGAUAUCUGGAGGAACACCGGUGGCGAAGGCGGCAUCCUGGACCGGUAUUGACGCUGAGGAGCGAAAGCCAGGGUAGCAAACGGGAUUAGAUACCCCGGUAGUCCUGGCCCUAAACGAUGAAUGCUUGGUGUAGCGGGUAUCGAUCCCCUGCUGUGCCGAAGCUAACGCAUUAAGCAUUCCGCCUGGGGAUACGGUCGCAAGGCUG
rnacentral:rRNA from 1 species